rnacentral:rRNA from 1 species
GACGAACCGUGCGAACGUUGUUCGGAAUCACUGGGCUUAAAGGGCGCGUAGGCGGCUUGUCAAGUCAGGGGUGAAAUCUUUCGGCUCAACCGGAAAAGUGCCUUUGAUACUGACAAGCUAGAGGGAGGUAGGGGUAUGUGGAACUUCUGGUGGAGCGGUGAAAUGCGUUGAUAUCAGAAGGAACGCCGGUGGCGAAAGCGACGUACUGGACCUCUUCUGACGCUGAGGCGCGAAAGCUAGGGGAGCAAACGGG